AUUGAACGCUGGCGGCAGGCCUAACACAUGCAAGUCGAACGGUAACAGGAAGACGCUUGCUUCUUUGCUGACGCGUGGCGGACGGGUGAGUAAUGUCUGGGAAACUGCCUGAUGGAGGGGGAUAACUACUGGAAACGGUAGCUAAUACCGCAUAACGUCGCAAGCCCAAAGAGGGGGACCUUCGGGCCUCUUGCCAUCGGCUGUGCCCAGAUGGGAUUAGCUAGUAGGUGGGGUAACGGCUCACCUAGGCGACGAUCCCUAGCUGGUCUGAGAGGAUGACCAGCCACACUGGAACUGAGACACGGUCCAGACUCCUACGGGAGGCAGCAGUGGGGAAUAUUGCACAAUGGGCGCAAGCCUGAUGCAGCAAUGCCGCGUGUAUGAAGAAGGCCUUCGGAUCGUAAAGUACUGUCAGCGGGGAAGAAGAGAUUUAAGUUAAUACCUGCGCGCAUUGACGGUACCCGCAGAAGAAGCACCGGCUAACUCCGUG
rnacentral:rRNA from 1 species